CUGAUCCAGCCAUGCCGCGUGUAGGAAGACGGCCCUAUGGGUUGUAAACUNCUUUUAUACGGGAAGAAACCUAUCCUCGUGAGGAUNGCUGACGGUACCGUAAGAAUAAGNANCGGCUAACUCCGUGCCAGCAGCCGCGUAAU
rnacentral:rRNA from 1 species